UUCUCCAAAUAAAACAUUUGUCAAUUGUAAAAGGAAGCGUGAAUUUAUAGCAUUGGUUAUUUGUUGUUCCAAAUCUCUAUUCAAAACUAUUUCCAUCUCAUCAGGCUGAGUGGCAUCUUCCUCACCCAGUGUAGAACUUUCUUUAGUUUCCCGACUUGAUGAUUUUAUGGGAGGAAUUGUCCCCAACAAGAAUUUUGUAACUGCUGCAAGGUCUAUGGCCAUCUCAAAUGAACAAUCAGGCUGAGACAAAGAAACUCCUGCAGUUUCUAACAUGUUUCCAAGAAGACAGGCAUAACCAGGAUAUUUUGCUGAAACAUCAUUGGGAAGUACAUUAGCAUGGCCCUGCACACAUAGUGCCAUCUGAUGAAUGUAAUGUUGGCUCAGCCCCCAAGUUGCAAAAACCUCUUUUAAGCUUGGAAAAAGCUGCCACAAGAAAGGAAUUGUCAGCAUCUGAGAGGAGAAACUACAUUGCGGAUCAGUAUGUGGGCAAAUACAUGGCUUCUGACCAAUGUGGGAAAUCAUCAUAGAAAGCAUGUGCUCCAGUGAAGAUACUUUUCCAAUACAACUGCUAGGCCUUUUAUUUUCCUUCCCCGCAAGAACAAUUUCUCUAAAUAGAGUGAAGGCAUUUCUUUGCAAUAGAUAACCAACAAUCUUACAUGCCCAUGGAAGCUUUUGAUCUAUCAAAAAAACUACAACUUCCAACAAGAGAACUGCUGGUUCACUAGAUUCCCAGGGUGUCAUCAAUAGUUGAUCCUUCAACUGUUCUCUAUUGUGAUAUACAGCCUGAAUACAGUAGAACGCAAGUUGUUUCACCCUAUAGUCCACCAAAGCAUGAGUGGUUACAUAAUCCACACCACCAAACAGACUAAUGAUAUCCCCAUUGUCUCGAAAGAGUUGCAAAAGCAAUCGGCAGGUCUCCGUAAGGACAGUAAAAUCACCAUUGUUUUGUGCAUUGAAGAAAAACAACAGAUCACGUAGGAACCCUGAAUCUGGACCAAAAGAAUGCCUGUCUAUAUUUAGGCAAUGCUUCCCAUAGGUUCCAUAGAAUUGAUCUCGCACCUUAUGAUGCUCAGCUUCCACUGCCUUUCUCCCUCUAAAGCAUUUCUGAAU
rnacentral:misc_RNA from 1 species